rnacentral:rRNA from 1 species
AACGAACGCUGGCGGCAGGCUUAACACAUGCAAGUCGAGCGCCCCGCAAGGGGAGCGGCAGACGGGUGAGUAACGCGUGGGAAUCUACCCAUCUCUACGGAAUAACGCAUGGAAACGUGUGCUAAUACCGUAUACGUCCUUCGGGAGAAAGAUUUAUCGGAGAUGGAUGGGCCCGCGUUGGAUUCGCUAGUUGGUGGGGUAAAGGCCUACCAAGGCGACGAUCCAUAGCUGGUCUGAGAGGAUGAUCAGCCACACUGGGACUGAGACACGGCCUAGACUCCUACGGGGGGCAGCAGUGGGGAAUAUUGGACAAUGGGCGCCAGCCUGAUCCAGCCAUGCCGCGUGAGUGAUGAAGGCCCUAGGGUUGUAAAGCUCUUUCACCGGUGAAGAUAAUGACGGUAACCGGAGAAGAAGCCCCGGCUAACUUCGUGCCAGCCGCCGCGGUAAUAC